GUUGUGCCCUUGAGGCGUGGCUUCCGGAGCUAACGCGUUAAGUCGACCGCCUGGGGAGUACGGCCGCAAGGUUAAAACUCAAAUGAAUUGACGGGGGCCCGCACAAGCGGUGGAGCAUGUGGUUUAAUUCGAUGCAACGCGAAGAACCUUACCUACUCUUGACAUCCAGAGAACUUUCCAGAGAUGGAUUGGUGCCUUCGGGAACUCUGAGACAGGUGCUGCAUGGCUGUCGUCAGCUCGUGUUGUGAAAUGUUGGGUUAAGUCCCGCAACGAGCGCAACCCUUAUCCUUUGUUGCCAGCNGNUUCGGCCGGGAACCUCNNAGAAGGAGACUGGCAGUGANUAAACUGGAGGAAGGUGGGGAUGACGUCAAGUCAUCAUGGCCUUUACGAGUAGGGCUACACACGUGCUACAAUGGCGCAUACANNAAGAGAAGCGACCUCGCGNNAGAGCAAGCGGACCUCAUGAAANNNNGUGGGUCGUAGUCCGGNAUUGGNNAGNNUCUGCCCCUNCGACUCCCUGAAGUUGGAAUCGCUAGCUACUCGUAGAUNCAGAAUGCUACGGUGAAUAUGUUCUUCCGGGCCNUUGUACACACUGCCCGUCACGCCGUGGGAGUGGGGUUGCAAUAGAAGUAGGUAGCUUAACNCUUCGGGAGGGCGCUACCAC
rnacentral:rRNA from 1 species